rfam:Aedes aegypti strain Liverpool supercont1.79 genomic scaffold, whole genome shotgun sequence.
CCUCUCAUGGCGUAGUGGUUAACGUGCCCCAACUAGAUAUCGGGGAGUCGUGAGUUCGAUUCUCACUGAGAAGA